rnacentral:tRNA from 1 species
GGAGUUGUGGCUCAGCAGUAGAGCGCUCACCUCGCACGUGGGAGACCCUGGGUUCAAUCCUCAGCACCA